AUGGAUACCGCGGCGCGAGCAAAGAGGCUCGAGAUGGAGGGCGGGUGGACGCUGCCGGAGGAGAUCGUGGAGGACAUCCUCUCCCGCCUGCCGGUGAGGUCGCUCCGCCGCUUCCGCUGCGUGAGUCGCGCGUGGGACGCCCUCAUCACCUCCCCCGCGUUCGAGGACCUCCACUCCGAUCGGUCCCGCCACCACCGCAGAUUGUUCCUCAAGCCAACCUGUCAGAACGUCUUCUACGCAUGGAAGCUCGGUGGCCCAGCGGAGACCAUCAUGGACAACUGGAGAUUGCCGCAGGGGAAGAUCUUCCCCAUCACCAAGUCCUGCCAUGGCAUCGUCCUCCUACGCUGCCUCGACUACGAUCUGCACUACGUGUGGAACCCUUCAGCCAACCAACUCUUGGCUCUGCCGGACAGAAGACCGGCCAGGGUGGCCUGGGCCGGCGGCAGAACCCACAUGAUCUACGGCAUGGGUUACUGCUCGACGGCCAAGCAGUACAAAAUAGUGCGCAUGUACAAUUUUGACCGUGACCUCGGACUCCACGACACGGUGUGCGAGGUCUACACUCUGGACGAGUCCACGCACUGGAGGCCUGCUGCCACGCAGCCUCACUCAUGCCAGCUACGAGUCAAUGGGAGGCAGGGAGCCGUUCUCUGCAACGGCAAUCUGCAUUUCGUCCACACGCAUGGCCUAGACCUCCUCACCGUUUUCAAUAUCCACGCCGAGACGUUCAGCACGAUGGUGCUGCCUGCGGAGACGCGAUCAUACUCGCCGGACUUCAUGCUAACUGAACUGGGCGGUUUCCUAUGUGUCUACCACGCAAAACGCAGAGACCAUCCGGAGUUUGCCGACCCUUACGACAUCUGGCUGCAAAGAGACUACGAGGCAGGGCAAUGGGAAAGACUGCAGUGCAUCAACUGGGGGAGCAUGGGAGAAGCGGAGAUCGCCCCGCUCAAGUCCUCCUGGAUCGCCCCGCUUGACAUGUACUAUGACCAUGGCGCUCAGAAGAAGAAGAUCCUGUUUGGCACGAGCGCAUGCAAGGUGUUCGUGGUGGACCCUGACACCGGCGUCCCGGAAGUUGUAUUCUCGCCGGAGGACACGAUCAUGGGAGAUCAGGGCAACUGGGACAGCGAAUUCCCCACCAUCGGGUUGUUUGAGGAGCGCCUCGCGUCCGUGGGCCGCACCAACGAGGAGAUCAUCUUCACUUCGCCAUGGGCACGAGCCGCGUCCUCGGUGCUCAUGUACCUGCCAGCACGCACGGUUGGGCGCUUGAACCAGGUUCAAAGCCCUGGAGGAUUUCAUCAACGAGACACACCAGACGUACCGCCUUUGGUUGACGAGGGCUCAAGAGUGGUUUACUCCAAGCCGUGCAAUGGGUUGAACGCAGGGAGCUGGGCCAAGUAUGACUUCGUGUGCAACCCACUGACAAAGUAUUACCGAGCCAUAAACUUGGGCAAUGGUAAGAAUGCUGCAUCCUGUUCCAGUGACAUCCAGAGAACACCUAGCGUCGCCCUUGGGUAUGCACCCAAUAUAGGAAUGCAUGUCCUGGUGAGCCUUGCGUAUAAGGAAAAAAACCGGACAUCGAGGGACUACAAACUUGAGUGCAAGAUCCAGUUGAUCGAACGGCGUCAUUGGGUAAAGAUAGAUCCUCCUUCAAGGCCUAUGGCCGACGCGCCGCCGGUCUAUGCAAGCGGCAAGCUCUAUUGGAUUGUAGACCCCGAGUUUGGUCCGACAUCGGCUUGCAGCGAGAUCAUAAUGCUUUAUCUUAACACUUUAGAAUUUCAUGUCUUGGCAGGGCCACCUUGCGGCAAAUACUACAUAUCCAUCACGGAGCUUCAAGGAGAGGUAUGUGUGACGUGCUCAAGACCAAGCACCAACACCAUAGAGAUAUGGGACAUGGAUGGCAAUGGCAUGUGGUCCAUGCGACGUUGUAUAGAGCUAGCGAGUUUCUUUCCGGAGUACUCGUCGAAGAAUACGACGCUGCUGGCCGUCAAUCCCAACGAUGGAAGAAUCUUACUCAGCACCGGGAGAUCAUUGGGUUACUAUGCCUCCAAGACGGUUGAGCUGGAGACAAUUUACCAUCUGGACUCGAGCAUCCAAGGAAAGAAGUUUGUCCCUGUUUUGGCCAUGGAUAGCUUAGUUCAACCAUGCGAUGCAGUGGUGUAG
rnacentral:rRNA from 1 species